rnacentral:rRNA from 1 species
AAGCGGUGGAUGAUGUGGUUUAAUUCGAUGCAACGCGAAGAACCUUACCACCUUGACAUGGCAGGAAUCCCGAAGAGAUUUGGGAGUGCUCGAAAGAGAACCUGCACACAGGUGCUGCAUGGCUGUCGUCAGCUCGUGUCGUGAGAUGUUGGGUUAAGUCCCGCAACGAGCGCAACCCUUGCCAUUAGUUGCUACGAAAGGGCACUCUAAUGGGACUGCCGGUGACAAACCGGAGGAAGGUGGGGAUGACGUCAAGUCCUCAUGGCCCUUAUAGGUGGGGCUACACACGUCAUACAAUGGCCGGUACAGAGGGUAGCCAACCCGCGAGGGGGAGCCAAUCCCACAAAGCCGGUCGUAGUCCGGAUCGCAGUCUGCAACUCGACUGCGUGAAGUCGGAAUCGCUAGUAAUCGCGGAUCAGCAUGUCGCGGUGAAUACGUUCCCGGGUCUU